AAACCAUGCACCGAAGCUGCGGCAGCGAACGUAUCACCCAAGACAACUUUACGGAGUUGACGAUUGACGGAGCGAAGCGACGUCAAAGCGUUCAUUAAAGUCGAGUUGGCUUAGGGAUACGUUCGUUGGGUAGGGGAGCGUUCUGUAAGCCUGUGAAGGUGUGUCGUGAGGCAUGCUGGAGGUAUCAGAAGUGCGAAUGCUGACAUAAGUAACGAUAAAGCGGGUGAAAAGCCCGCUCGCCGGAAGACCAAGGGUUCCUGUCCAACGUUAAUCGGGGCAGGGUGAGUCGACCCCUAAGGCGAGGCCGAAAGGCGUAGUCGAUGGGAAACGGGUUAAUAUUCCCGUACUUGGUGUUACUGCGAAGGGGGGACGGAGAAGGCUAUGUUGGCCGGGCGACGGUUGUCCCGGUUUAAGCGUGUAGGUGUGUGUUCCAGGUAAAUCCGGUUCACUUUAACACUGAGGCGUGACGACGAGGCACUACGGUGCUGAAGCAACAAAUGCCCUGCUUCCAGGAAAAGCCUCUAAGCAUCAGGUAACAUCAAAUCGUACCCCAAACCGACACAGGUGGUCAGGUAGAGAAUACCAAGGCGCUUGAGAGAACUCGGGUGAAGGAACUAGGCAAAAUGGUGCCGUAACUUCGGGAGAAGGCACGCUGACACGUAGGUGAAGUGAUUUACUCAUGGAGCUGAAGUCAGUCGAAGAUACCAGCUGGCUGCAACUGUUUAUUAAAAACACAGCACUGUGCAAACACGAAAGUGGACGUAUACGGUGUGACGCCUGCCCGGUGCCGGAAGGUUAAUUGAUGGGGUCAGCGCAAGCGAAGCUCCUGAUCGAAGCCCCGGUAAACGGCGGCCGUAACUAUAACGGUCCUAAGGUAGCGAAAUUCCUUGUCGGGUAAGUUCCGACCUGCACGAAUGGCGUAAUGAUGGCCAGGCUGUCUCCACCCGAGACUCAGUGAAAUUGAACUCGCUGUGAAGAUGCAGUGUACCCGCGGCAAGACGGAAAGACCCCGUGAACCUUUACUAUAGCUUGACACUGAACAUUGAGCCUUGAUGUGUAGGAUAGGUGGGAGGCUUUGAAGUGUGGACGCCAGUCUGCAUGGAGCCGACCUUGAAAUACCACCCUUUAAUGUUUGAUGUUCUAACGUGGACCCGUAAUCCGGGUUGCGGACAGUGUCUGGUGGGUAGUUUGACUGGGGCGGUCUCCUCCUAAAGAGUAACGGAGGAGCACGAAGGUUGGCUAAUCCUGGUCGGACAUCAGGAGGUUAGUGCAAUGGCAUAAGCCAGCUUGACUGCGAGCGUGACGGCGCGAGCAGGUGCGAAAGCAGGUCAUAGUGAUCCGGUGGUUCUGAAUGGAAGGGCCAUCGCUCAACGGAUAAAAGGUACUCCGGGGAUAACAGGCUGAUACCGCCCAAGAGUUCAUAUCGACGGCGGUGUUUGGCACCUCGAUGUCGGCUCAUCACAUCCUGGGGCUGAAGUAGGUCCCAAGGGUAUGGCUGUUCGCCAUUUAAAGUGGUACGCGAGCUGGGUUUAGAACGUCGUGAGACAGUUCGGUCCCUAUCUGCCGUGGGCGCUGGAGAACUGAGGGGGGCUGCUCCUAGUACGAGAGGACCGGAGUGGACGCAUCACUGGUGUUCGGGUUGUCAUGCCAAUGGCACUGCCCGGUAGCUAAAUGCGGAAGAGAUAAGUGCUGAAAGCAUCUAAGCACGAAACUUGCCCCGA
rnacentral:rRNA from 1 species